GACGAACGCUGGCGGCGUGCUUAACACAUGCAAGUCGAACGGAAAGGCCCUGCUUUUGUGGGGUGCUCGAGUGACGAACGGGUGAGUAACACGUGAGUAACCUGCCCUUGACUUUGGGAUAACUUCAGGAAACUGGGGCUAAUACCGGAUAGGAGCUCCGGCUGCAUGGUGGGGGUUGGAAAGUUUGGGCGGUUGGGGAUGGACUCGCGGCUUAGCGGCUUGUUGGUGGGGUAGUGGCUUACCAAGGCUUUGCAGGGUAGCCGGCCUGAGCUGGUGAACGGCCACAUUGGGAAUGGGAUGCCGCCGAGGCGCCUACGGGGGGCAGCAGUGGGGAAUGAUGCAGAAUGGCCGGGAGCCUGAUGCAGCAACGCCGCGCGGGGGAUGACGGCCUUCGGGUAGUAACACGCCUUCGCCUGUUACGAAGCGAGCGUGACGGUACUGAGUAAAAAAGCACCGGCUAACUACGUG
rnacentral:rRNA from 1 species